AAAUUGAAGAGUUUGAUCAUGGCUCAGAUUGAACGCUGGCGGCAGGCCUAACACAUGCAAGUCGAGCGGUAGCACAGAGAGCUUGCUCUCGGGUGACGAGCGGCGGACGGGUGAGUAAUGUCUGGGAAACUGCCUGAUGGAGGGGGAUAACUACUGGAAACGGUAGCUAAUACCGCAUAACGUCGCAAGACCAAAGUGGGGGACCUUCGGGCCUCAUGCCAUCAGAUGUGCCCAGAUGGGAUUAGCUAGUAGGUGGGGUAACGGCUCACCUAGGCGACGAUCCCUAGCUGGUCUGAGAGGAUGACCAGCCACACUGGAACUGAGACACGGUCCAGACUCCUACGGGAGGCAGCAGUGGGGAAUAUUGCACAAUGGGCGCAAGCCUGAUGCAGCCAUGCCGCGUGUGUGAAGAAGGCCUUCGGGUUGUAAAGCACUUUCAGCGGGGAGGAAGGCGGUGAGGUUAAUAACCUCAUCGAUUGACGUUACCCGCAGAAGAAGCACCGGCUAACUCCGUGCCAGCAGCCGCGGUAAUACGGAGGGUGCAAGCGUUAAUCGGAAUUACUGGGCGUAAAGCGCACGCAGGCGGUCUGUCAAGUCGGAUGUGAAAUCCCCGGGCUCAACCUGGGAACUGCAUUCGAAACUGGCAGGCUAGAGUCUUGUAGAGGGGGGUAGAAUUCCAGGUGUAGCGGUGAAAUGCGUAGAGAUCUGGAGGAAUACCGGUGGCGAAGGCGGCCCCCUGGACAAAGACUGACGCUCAGGUGCGAAAGCGUGGGGAGCAAACAGGAUUAGAUACCCUGGUAGUCCACGCCGUAAACGAUGUCGAUUUGGAGGUUGUGCCCUUGAGGCGUGGCUUCCGGAGCUAACGCGUUAAAUCGACCGCCUGGGGAGUACGGCCGCAAGGUUAAAACUCAAAUGAAUUGACGGGGGCCCGCACAAGCGGUGGAGCAUGUGGUUUAAUUCGAUGCAACGCGAAGAACCUUACCUGGUCUUGACAUCCACAGAACUUUCCAGAGAUGGAUUGGUGCCUUCGGGAACUGUGAGACAGGUGCUGCAUGGCUGUCGUCAGCUCGUGUUGUGAAAUGUUGGGUUAAGUCCCGCAACGAGCGCAACCCUUAUCCUUUGUUGCCAGCGGUUA
rnacentral:rRNA from 1 species